CCCUGGCUGGUCAGUUCGCUUUAUGCUUCCUCAAUAAAUCCAUCUUUUUGCUUGAGACUGUCUCUGAGUGGUGGACUCUUGGAGGGAUGGGGAAUCCCCUUCUCCAAACCCCAUAACAUUUCUAACCCCAUAACAUUGAAAUUGUGUGAAGAUUA